GUACACGCUGUGACUAGCAUAUCAAUAAGCGGAGGAAAAGAAACUAACAAGGAUUCCCCUAGUAACGGCGAGUGAAGCGGGAAGAGCCCAAAUUUGAGAUCUUAAAGGGUUUCCCUUUACGAAUUGUAGUUUAAAGAAGUGUUUUCUGUUGAGGUUUUGGUAAAAGUUCUUUGGAAUAGGACAUCAUAGAGGGUGAGAAUCCCGUAUUUGACCUUUACUUUCAACUUUGUGAUACACUUUCAAAGAGUCGGAUUGUUUGGGAAUGCAGUCCAAAAUGGGUGGUAAAUUUCAUCUAAAGCUAAAUAUUGGCGAGAGACCGAUAGCGAACAAGUACCGUGAGGGAAGGAUGAAAAGAACUUUGAAAAGAGAGUUAAACAGUACGUGAAAUUGUCAAAAGGGAAGCGUUUGACACCAGUGUUGUUUUUCUGAAAAUCAAUUAAAGAACUGUUUAUGCUAAGUUGUUUAGACUUUAUCAGCUAACUGUUUAGUUUUGAGCUUUUCUUUAAUGCACUUUUCAGUUAACAAGUCAACAUCAAUUUCUUUUGCUGUAAAAAAGCUUGAGGAAGGUGGCUUGAGAUUCGUCUUAAGUGUUUAUAGCCUCUUGCCUAUGCAGUCGGAGAGAUUGAGGUCUGCAGCGUAGAUCCUUCGGGGCUAAAUGCAUUUGUGCUAAGUUAUAACAUUUUAUAGACAACUUGUUGACUAUGAUUUGUCUUGUAGCUUACUCGCUUAUGUUAUUUUACCUACGCUUAGGAUGUUGACACAUGAGAUAUACGC
rnacentral:rRNA from 1 species